GCGAGAAAACUUUGCAAUGUGCGAAAGCACGACAAGGUUAAUCCGAGUGGUUUCUGCUAAAGAAACCUUUUGUCAGUCCUAGAAACACUAACGAAUAAGGGGUGGGCAAGUUCUGGUGUCAGCCGCCGCGGUAAAACCAGCACCUCAAGUGGUCAGGAUGAUUAUUGGGCCUAAAGCAUCCGUAGCUCGUUUUGUAAGUUUUCGGUUAAAUCCAUACGCUUAACGUAUGGGCUGCCGGGAAUACUGCAUAACUAGGAAGUGGGAGAGGUAGACGGUACUCGGUAGGAAGGGGUAAAAUCCUUUGAUCUAUUGAUGACCACCUGUGGCGAAGGCGGUCUACCAGAACACGUUCGACGGUGAGGGAUGAAAGCUGGGGGAGCAAACCGGAUUAGAUACCCACGUAGUCCCUGAGCGGGCUGGGCAAGGCG
rnacentral:rRNA from 1 species